CGUCGAGGGAUAUAUUAAUAUUUCUUAUUUCAUUAAUUACGUCCAAGUCUUGCGUGAAUAGUUCUUUUUUUUCACUAAAAUGUGCAGUAUCAGGGUAGCAAUUCAGUUAAAAAGAAUGAUAGAAAACAGACCUUGAGAUGGGCGUAAAUUUCACAUUCUGUAGUUCAUUGAACUGCCCUUCAAAUGGACAAGGGGAUAAAACGAGAUUGAUUUAUAUCAAGUGUCGGUAUUAAGAUACAGCUAUAUCAAGAUUUCCAUCUGAUAUUCUGUAAGAGAAGGCCAACGUUCUCUUUUGAUGAUCUCGUUCGAUCCAUCAAUUGAUAUCUGUAAAUUGUAUUCGACUCUUAUGAUGCAUAAAAUUUGGUUCAAGAUCUUAUACUGAGGCUACCGUUGGAUGUGUUUUUUCCCUUUGAAUGUGAAAACCGGUUGCGAGAAUCAAGAAAGAUGGCGUGAUAAGAAUAUAUUUUCAAACAAAUAAUAUUCUGAGCAUGGAAGUUAAUGGAUGAAAUUCAAACGUCUUUUGAUAAUGAUUUUUAUUAACGAUUCAUGGAAAUUUUAGCAAUGAUUAGAUAUUAUUAUAAUAUUGGAAAAAAAAAGGAAAUACUAUCUUAUUUAAAGCAACUAAUACAUCGAUUGAAGAAUCAAUAAUUGACACCAGGGCCAGUGUCCCGCUACAAGGUCGUAUAUUCCCUCAUGGUCGCCACAGUGUCUACAUAUACUAUGAUGGAUGCAUAUAUUAGAGUUCCAGUAGAAGUAUCAAAAAAGAAACGUUCAAACGAUUUGGAAAGUUUACUGAAAGUAUAAUGAUGAUUUUGAAAUGAUCUUCAAAUGAUCUCCAAGCGAUUUUUAUAGCUUCAAAUGAUCUUGAAGAGUAACUUAAGAUAGGUCAGGUAAGAUCGUCUUACGUUAAUAAGUUAAGUUAAAUAAACCUCGGAUGAGCAAUUUUAUUAUAAAUUUUUGAAUGAAAGGAGCAAUAAAAACUCGCAAUUUAUAAAACGUACUAAUAUAAUAUUUAUUGUUUGCAAUAAACAGCGUAAUAUAAUAUCACCUCUGGCACAAUCUCACGAUGGCAAGACAACGCGAAAACGGUAUUAUAUUUCGAUAUUCUCGCAUCAUUUUUAUCUGAUUCCGCAACUUGUCCGGCUUCAAGAAGAUUCUUCUCUAACAAAACAGUACAGUACGCGCGCAAAUCAGCCCGAAAUCGGCCGGUUUCAACAUCCCUCCUCUUACACGGCUACAUUUCUAACAAAAUAAAGGCGAAGCCUGUUGAUUCGUUUUUCGUUUCGCAUCGCCGUUUACGGUCGCUUUAAGUACGAUAGAUCGAGACGGCUGGGAAACGAUCACGAGAAGACCACAACACUCGCUUGCUAUGCUAUGCUAUGCGAUAUAUUUCUAAUAACGCGUUAACGCGAAAAGGGAAAGGAGAGGAGAGAGAAAAAAAAAAAGAAAAAAAAAAGAAACAGAAAAAAAUGAUUGAUUUCAACGAUCAAUCUUCUCUAAUCUACUCUAAUGUUUAUUCACCGGUCUUCUCUAAUCGCGAUUGAGGUCUCCUCGUGACUGUGACACGGCUGCCUUUCAAAAAUAUAUCAUUAAUUAAUAAUAUUAAUAAACGUAAAGGAUUAUAAGAGGAUGAUACGAUAGCAGAUAAAAAUCGUUCAUCGGCAAAAAUCGUUUCUCCACAAUGCACACACGAUGAAUCUCUGAACACGAGAUCUACAUCUGUAUAUAACGAAGAAAAUAUAUAUAGUUAAUAGGCGAUCGAAAUGGGUUCUCAGGGGUGUCGUAGUUCAUUAUGAGAUGUUGAGAAGUUGUUUGAUGAAGUUUGGAAGUUGGGCUAAGGAGAAAAAUAUCGAUUACGAGUAAAAAAAAAAAAAAAAAAAAAAAAAAAAAAAGAGAAAA
rnacentral:lncRNA from 1 species